rnacentral:rRNA from 1 species
GACGAACGCUGGCGGCGUGCCUAAUACAUGCAAGUAGAACGCUGAAGAGAGGAGCUUGCUCUUCUUGGAUGAGUUGCGAACGGGUGAGUAACGCGUAGGUAACCUGCCUUGUAGCGGGGGAUAACUAUUGGAAACGAUAGCUAAUACCGCAUAACAAUGGAUGACACAUGUCAUUUAUUUGAAAGGGGCAAUUGCUCCACUACAAGAUGGACCUGCGUUGUAUUAGCUAGUAGGUGAGGUAAUGGCUCACCUAGGCGACGAUACAUAGCCGACCUGAGAGGGUGAUCGGCCACACUGGGACUGAGACACGGCCCAGACUCCUACGGGAGGCAGCAGUAGGGAAUCUUCGGCAAUGGGGGCAACCCUGACCGAGCAACGCCGCGUGAGUGAAGAAGGUUUUCGGAUCGUAAAGCUCUGUUGUAAGUCAAGAACGGGUGUGAGAGUGGAAAGUUCACACUGUGACGGUAGCUUACCAGAAAGGGACGGCUAACUACGUGCCAGCAGCCGCGGUAAUACGUAGGUCCCGAGCGUUGUCCGGAUUUAUUGGGCGUAAAGCGAGCGCAGGCGGUUUGAUAAGUCUGAAGUUAGAGGCUGUGGCUCAACCAUAGUUCGCUUUGGAAACUGUCAAACUUGAGUGCAGAAGGGGAGAGUGGAAUUCCAUGUGUAGCGGUGAAAUGCGUAGAUAUAUGGAGGAACACCGGUGGCGAAAGCGGCUCUCUGGUCUGUAACUGACGCUGAGGCUCGAAAGCGUGGGGAGCGAACAGGAUUAGAUACCCUGGUAGUCCACGCCGUAAACGAUGAGUGCUAGGUGUUGGAUCCUUUCCGGGAUUCAGUGCCGCAGCUAACGCAUUAAGCACUCCGCCUGGGGAGUACGACCGCAAGGUUGAAACUCAAAGGAAUUGACGGGGGCCCGCACAAGCGGUGGAGCAUGUGGUUUAAUUCGAAGCAACGCGAAGAACCUUACCAGGUCUUGACAUCCCGAUGCUAUUUCUAGAGAUAGAAAGUUACUUCGGUACAUCGGUGACAGGUGGUGCAUGGUUGUCGUCAGCUCGUGUCGUGAGAUGUUGGGUUAAGUCCCGCAACGAGCGCAACCCCUAUUGUUAGUUGCCAUCAUUCAGUUGGGCACUCUAGCGAGACUGCCGGUAAUAAACCGGAGGAAGGUGGGGAUGACGUCAAAUCAUCAUGCCCCUUAUGACCUGGGCUACACACGUGCUACAAUGGUUGGUACAACGAGGUGCGAGUCGGUGACGGCGAGCUAAUCUCUUAAAGCCAAUCUCAGUUCGGAUUGUAGGCUGCAACUCGCCUACAUGAAGUCGGAAUCGCUAGUAAUCGCGGAUCAGCACGCCGCGGUGAAUACGUUCCCGGGCCU